AUGGAGACAGGCCCUCUGCCACUCCACAGCCACCUGCUGUGCUGCCUGGAAGAGGGGGGCAGCUGGUCACAGGCCAGGCCACCCCCGGUGAGUAAAUCAGGUGGACACUUGGACGCUGACCAGAAACGCAUGGCCAAGGCCCCGCCUCUGCAAAUCGUCCUCCAACACCGACAUGAGUUCAGAUCUCUGGAGCCCCUGGCUAUGAACCUGACCCCUCUCUGUGCCACGGCUGAGAACUUCCUCCAGCGGCUGCUGCUGAGCGCGGAGCGAGUGCCAGCUGAUGUCAUCCCGGCCCGUGUCCGGACAAGGCAGGUGGGAAUUCAGAAUGUGACCUUGGCCAACGCACGGGUGUCUCCGAUGCUCGGUGACGACUGGGACAGAGGUGGCAGAGGAGGUGGGCCGCGGGUCCGCGCGGAGUUGCCGUCCGCCGUCAGGUGCUACCCCCACCGCCGAGAUCCGCUGGAGAACCUAGAGGAGGAGGGUGUGCCCAAGAACCCCGACCUGCGCAUCGCGCAGCUGCGCUUCCUGCUCAGCCUGCGGGAGCACCGCGGGGACGCGGCCGUGCGCGACGAGCUGAUGGCGGCCGUCCGGGAUAACAACAUGGCUCCUUAUUACGAAGCCUUGUGCAAAUCCCUCGACUGGCAGAUGGACACGGACCUGCUCAAUAAAAUGAAAAAGGCCAACGAGGAAGAGUUGAAACGUUUGGACGAGGAGCUGGAAGAUGCAGAGAAGAAUCUGGGAGAGAGCGAAAUCCGGGAUGCCAUGAUGGCCAAGGCCGAGUACCUGUGCCGGAUAGGCGACGAGGAGGGUGCUCUGACAGCCUUUCGCAAGACAUAUGACAAAACUGUGGCCUUGGGUCACCGACUGGACAUUGUGUUCUAUCUUCUUAGGAUUGGAUUAUUUUAUAUGGAUAAUGAUCUCAUCACACGAAACACAGAGAAGGCCAAAAGCUUAAUAGAGGAAGGAGGAGAUUGGGACAGGAGAAACCGCCUAAAGGUACGUCAAGGUCUUUACUGUGUGGCUAUUCGUUGAUUUCAAACAGGCAGCUGAACUCUUCCUUGACACAGUUUCAACAUUCACAUCGUAUGAACUUACGGAUUAUAAGACCUUUGUGACUUAUACUGUCUAUGUCAGCAUGAUUGCCUUAGAAAGACCAGAUCUCGGGGAAAAGGUGAUUAAAGGAGCCGAGAUCCUCGAGGUGCUUCAUAGCCUUCCAGCGGUCCGGCAGUACCUGUUUUCACUCUAUGAGUGUCGGUACUCCGUUUUCUUCCAGUCCUUAGCUAUUGUGGAACAGGCAAUGAGAAAGGACUGGCUUUUUGCUCCUCACUAUCGAUACUAUGUAAGAGAAAUGAGAAUUCAUGCUUACAGCCAGCUGCUGGAAUCCUAUAGGUCAUUAACUCUUGGCUAUAUGGCAGAAGCCUUUGGUGUUGGUGUGGAAUUCAUUGAUCAGGAGCUGUCCAGAUUUAUUGCUGCAGGGAGACUACACUGCAAAAUAGAUAAAGUAAAUGAAAGAGUGGAGACCAACAGGCCUGAUAGCAAGAACUGGCAGUACCAAGAAACUAUCAAGAAAGGAGAUCUACUACUAAACAGAGUUCAGAAACUUUCCAGAGUAAUUAAUAUGUAAAACCAUGGAAACAAAGGAUUUCCUUUAGAGAUAACUAUUUGGAAUUUUUAUAGCUUACUUUACUAUGUACCCAGUUCAACUGUAUAAAAUAAAUACUGCAUUGUUAAAAAAAAAAGAAAAAA